GGACUGUUAGGCUAGUGGGAAGUCGGCGUAAAACGAGAUACGCUACAGGGGUUCGAUUCCUCUACAGCCCA
rnacentral:tRNA from 1 species